UACGUAGGGACCGAGCGUUGUCCGGAUUCAUUGGGCGUAAAGAGCUCGUAGGCGGCCACUCAAGUCGAAUGUGAAACCUCGAGGCUUAACCUCGAGCCUGCAUUCGAUACUGGGCGGCUAGAGUCUGGUAGGGGGAUCUGGAAUUCCUGGUGUAGGGGUGGAAUGCGCAGAUAUCAGGAGGAACACCGGUGGCGAAGGCGGGAUCCUGGGCCAGUACUGACGCUGAGGAGCGAAAGCGUGGGGAGCAAACAGG
rnacentral:rRNA from 1 species